rnacentral:lncRNA from 1 species
GGCGGUCGCCUGCCAGGCGGACGCCCAGUGUGGCAACGUCUCGCGCGCGGCGGCGGCUCCGGCCCCGGUGGAGCUGAGCCUCUACUACGAGAGCCUGUGCCCGGCGUGCCRGGCCUUCGUGGUGCGGCAGCUCUUCACCACCUGGCUGCUGCUGCCGGGCGAGGUGCUGAACAUCACCCUGGUGCCCUACGGCAACGCGCAGGUGGGCACCGGGCCCGGCCGCCCCCAGGAGACCAACGUCAACGGGACGUGGCGCUUCCAGUGCCAGCACGGCCCCGAGGAGUGUCUGGGCAACAUGGUGGAGGCCUGCCUGAUGCACGAGGUGCAGGACUUCAGCACCUACUUCCCCAUCAUCUUCUGCCUGGAGUCGGGGGUGUCCGUCACCAAGGACCUCGAGGCCUGCCUGCGGGUCUACGCGCCGGAGGUGGCGGCGGCGCGGGUGGCCGCCUGCGUGCAGGGCGACGUGGGGC